rnacentral:rRNA from 1 species
GACGAACGCUGGCGGCGUGCCUAAUACAUGCAAGUCGAGCGCAGGAAGCUGACGGAACUCUUCGGAGGGAAGGCAGUGGAAUGAGCGGCGGACGGGUGAGUAACACGUAAGGAACCUGCCUCAAGGAUUGGGAUAACUCCGAGAAAUCGGAGCUAAUACCGGAUAGUUCAACGGACCGCAUGGUCCGCUGAUGAAAGGCGCUCCGGCGUCACCUUGAGUUGGCCUUGCGGUGCAUUAGCUAGUUGGUGGGGUAACGGCCCACCAAGGCGACGGUGCAUAGCCGACCUGAGAGGGUGAUCGGCCACACUGGGACUGAGACACGGCCCAGACUCCUACGGGAGGCAGCAGUAGGGAAUCUUCCAAAAUGGACGAAAGUCUGAUGGAGCAACGCCGCGUGAGUGAUGAAGGUUUUCGGAUCGUAAAACUCUGUUGUAAGGGAAGAACACGUACGAGAGGGAAUGCCCGUACCUUGACGGUACCUUACGAGAAAGCCACGGCUAACUACGUGCCAGCCGCCGCCGUAACAC